GCCACGGGAUUUGAACCAGCAACCUUCCAGCCACAGGUGCAGAUCCUGAGCCACAGAGCCACCACUCCACUCUUGCCCAGUGUGCUUUUCCUGUUCGAUUGCCUGAACAGCAGGUAGCAGUGGGCCAGGAACUGGUGAAACCUGCUGCAACAAGAGAGAAGCACUGAAAACACUCAAAGGUACGAUCACAGUGAAGAACACACAACAUCAAAGAUGCACACUUUUUAAAUUUGAGAGUGAAAACAAGCCACUCAGCCCAACAUCUUCUCCAUUGCCGUUUUUAUUGUGGAAUUUCAUGGCCUAAAAAAACAAACAAAAACAAAGCAGAAAAUAAGUCCUAAGUUCCACACUGCACAAUCAGAGCAGCGCGCCACUCCAAAAUCUGUCUCCAGCAGGUUUAAAAAAAAAA